rnacentral:rRNA from 1 species
GUAGGUGGCAAGCGUUGUCCGGAAUUAUUGGGCGUAAAGCGCGCGCAGGCGGUUCUUUAAGUCUGAUGUGAAAGCCCACGGCUCAACCGUGGAGGGUCAUUGGAAACUGGGGAACUUGAGUACAGAAGAGGAAAGCGGAAUUCCACGUGUAGCGGUGAAAUGCGUAGAGAUGUGGAGGAACACCAGUGGCGAAGGCGGCUUUCUGGUCUGUAACUGACGCUGAGGCGCGAAAGCGUGGGGAGCAAACAGGAUUAGAUACCCUGGUAGUCCACGCCGUAAACGAUGAGUGCUAAGUGUUAGGGGGGUUUCCCGCCCCCUUAGUGCUGCAGCUAACGCAUUAAGCACUCCGCCUGGGGAGUACGGCCGCAAGGCUG